rnacentral:rRNA from 1 species
UGAGGAAUAUUGGACAAUGGGGGAAACCCUGAUCCAGCCAUGCCGCGUGUAUGAAGAAGGCCCUAGGGUUGUAAAGUACUUUCAAUUGCGAAGAUAAUGACGGUAACAAUAGAAGAAGCUCCGGCUAAAUUCGUGCCAGCAGCCGCGGUAAUACGAAUGGAGCGAGCGUUGUUCGGAAUCACUGGGCUUAAAGCGUAUGUAGGCGGAAACGAAAGUCAGGAGUGAAAUCCCAGGGCUCAACCCUGGAACUGCUCUUGAAACUUCGUUUCUAGAAUACUGGAGAGGUUGGGAGAAUUCCGAGUGUAGAGGUGAAAUUCGCAGAUAUUCGGAGGAAUACCAGUGGCGUAGGC